GGAGGGGUCGCAUAGUGGCCUAGUGCGCACGCUUGGAAAGCGUGUAUGCCGCAAGGUAUCGGGGGUUCGAAUCCCCCCCCCUCCGCCA
rnacentral:tRNA from 2 species